rnacentral:tRNA from 1 species
AAGGGGCCCAAAAUCUUAGGUGGGUUGUAAUCCCAUUUAUGGGGUGUGAGUCCCUUCUUUACA